rnacentral:rRNA from 1 species
UUCGCAAUGCCCGAAAGGGUGACGAAGCGACGCCGCGUGUGGGAAGAAGGCCUUCGGGUUGUAAACCACUGUCGGGAAUUAAGAAAUGCAAGAAUGUUAAUAGCGUUUUUGCUUGACUAAGGCUCCGGAGGAAGCCACGGCUAACUCUGUGCCAGCAGCCGCGGUAAUACAGAGGCGGCAAGCGUUGUUCGGAAUUAUUGGGCGUAAAGAGCACGUAGGCGGCUAUAUAAGUCGGUUGUGAAAGCCUUCCGCUCAACGGGAGAACAGCAUCCGAUACUGUAUGGCUUGAGUGUGGGAGGGGAGAGCGGAACUUCUGGUGGAGCGGUGAAAUGCGUAGAUAUCAGAAGGAACGCCGGCGGCGAAAGCGGCUCUCUGGCCCAUAACUGACGCUGAGUGUGCGAAAGCUAGGGGAGCAAACGGGAUUAGAUACCCCGGUAGUCCUAGCCGUAAAC